rnacentral:rRNA from 1 species
UACGUAGGGUGCGAGCGUUGUCCGGAAUUAUUGGGCGUAAAGAGCUCGUAGGCGGUCUGUCGCGUCUGCUGUGAAAUCCCGAGGCUCAACCUCGGGCUUGCAGUGGGUACGGGCAGGCUAGAGUGCGGUAGGGGAGAUUGGAACUCCUGGUGUAGCGGUGGAAUGCGCAGAUAUCAGGAAGAACACCGAUGGCGAAGGCAGAUCUCUGGGCCGUAACUGACGCUGAGGAGCGAAAGCAUGGGGAGCGAACAGG